GUGAGAAGCAGAAAGAAUAGUUCCUAACUCAUUCUAUGAGGCCAGCAUUACCAUAACACCAAGACCAGACAGAUACAUUACAAGAAAAACAAACUAAAGACCAAUAUCUCUCAUGAACAUAGAUGCAAAAAUCCUCAACAAAAUAUUAACAGAUCAAAUCCAACAAUAUAUGAAAGGAAUUAUACACCACGACCAAGUAGGAUUUAUUCCAGUAUGGAAGGUUGGUUCAACAUUCAAAAAUCAAUGUAAUCCAUAACAUCAAGGCUAAAAAAGAAGAAUCACAUGAUCAUAUCAAUAGAUGCAGAAAAAGACUUUGACCAAAUCCAACACCUCAUGAUAAAACUCUCAGUAACCUAAGAAUAGAGGUGAACUUUCUUAACUUGACAAAGACUAUAAAAAAACCCUACAGGUGAAAACAUGUGCCAUUGUCGUGAAUGAUGAUGGUAAUGGGGGGGAAGCUACACAGGUGUGCAGGUAGAGGUAUAUGGGAAAUCUCUGUAUCGCUCCCUCAAUUUUGUUGUAAACCUGAAGCUUCUCUAAAAAAUAGCCUUAAAAAAUGUCAAUCUAAAAAACUGUGAGGAACUCUUUAGAAUAAAAAAAAGAUUUAAGAGACAUAAAAAAUCAAAUUUAGUGUUGGAAACAAUUCCAUCCUGGUUCAAAGAAGUUAUAAAAUAUAAAACAUAUUAUUGGAACAAUUUGACUAGAGACGAAGCUUUUAGAUGAUAUUAUUGAGGCAAUUUGAGUACAGACUAGACUUUAGAUGAUAUUAUGGAAUAUUUAAUCUUCUUUGGUGCGCUACUGGUAUUGUGGUUAUGUAGGGGGAGUGUCUAUCAUGAGGAGAUGCAUGCUGAGGUAUUUAAAGGUGAAUUGUCAUAAUAUCUGUAACUCACUUUCGAAUGGUUCAGCAAAAUCAAAUUUGCAGAGAGAGAAAGCAAAGAUAGAAAAAUUUCUGGGUUUCUGAAACGUUUACUAGUAAGUUGAAGAAAAGUGAACGGAGAUGUCAAAGUAUGAGGGGAAUGGCUUCAUUCCCUAAUUACAUAAAUAUACUAGGACUCAAACACCAGAAUACGUUUAAAACGUAACAUCAAAAUAUUUUGAACAGUUUAAGUGUGAGUCAAUAAUAUAAUUAAUAAAUUAUCCAAUUAUUUAAAAUAGGUGACUUUCAUUCCAGCAUCAGAAAGCACGCAUAGGUGGGGCUGAGACUAUAGCUUCAAAAGCAAGAAUCAUACCUCCACUUUCCACAGGCUGGAGAGUCAAUUCCUUGCACCUACUUCCCCAGAUCCAGCGUCAGUGUUACUGUGACCCACAACUAGAGAACAGGAUGUGAUAUAUCCUUUGAGUGUGUGGGUGUGAAAAAAGACCGAGAAUCAGAGUCCAGAGACUGAUACAAUUGUACAUGGGGAUUAAGAAAUGGAAUCUGACUCGUUGUUCUGUUAGACACAAGAAAGUAUGUGGUAAAGCAGAAUAUCUUCUUUUUUUAAUAUUUUAUAUAAAUGUCUGAAAAGUACAAAGAAACUUAUUUUAAAGCACUUAAUUUCAACUACUAAUUCUCAAAAGGAAAAGGAAAUUUUAAAAAUAUUUAUAUUUAGUUAAAUAUAAUGAUAUAAUUAGAAUGAAAUUACUUUAUGAAGUUAUUACCUUUUUAAAAAUUUUGUUGAGGUCAUAUUGGUUUAUACAUUGUGUAAUUUCAGGUGUACAUUAUUAUAUAUCAGUUUCUGUAUAGACUGCAUCGUGCUCACCACCAAUAGUCUAGUUUUUCUCAGUCACCAUAUACAUGUGCCUCUUUAUCCCUUUUGCCUACUCCCCCACCACUUCCCCUCUGGUACCCACUAAUCUGUUCUCUUUAUCCAUGUAUUUGUUUAUCUUCCACAUAUGAAUGAAAUCAUAGGGUGUUGUCUUUCUCUGGCUUAUUUUGCUUGUUGUUGAAAAAUGUGUCUAUUACUAUUUUAUUUUUGAAAGAACAAUGCAAAUACAACUUAAAGUUGUUUUGUGAAUGUGUACUAAAAAAUCUUAAAAUCAUACCAGUAAGGAAGUGUUAAUAUAGUACCAUAAUUUUACCAUUUCUGCAGACUAAGGAUCAAUUGUUUUUCUUUAUCAUAGACUGGUAUUGAAGAGCCAUGGUGUUUGUUCAGUUAAGUUCAGUAGGGCACAACAGGAUGCUUUCCAUUUUUAUGAUCUAAAAACACCAGGAACCAUAUGUUCAAACUGUUACAUACUGUCAUUAGUGAUCAUAGUGGCAUUCUUCACAUCAACAUGUUGAAGCCCUGUCUGCUAGUCUUCCCAUUAUGAAUUAUGAAUUUAGAGACAUAUAAAUUAAUCAGAUUAUUAUUAUGACUUACUGACUUUGAUAUUAUUAUAUAAACUAAGCCCCAAAAUAUAGAAUCAUGAUUUCCAUAUCUAUUACUACAAAAAUAUAUAUGUACAAAUACAUAAAUAGACAUAUAUAUAUGAAUGCAUAUUAAAAAUAAAUAUAAAUCUUGAGCCAGUCUGAUGGCCUAGUGGUUAAAGUUCGGUACUCUUACCCUUCGGCAGCCUGGAUUCGUUUCACUAUGGUAGAACCACACCACUUGUCUGUCAGCUGCCAAGCUGUGGCAGCAGCUUACAUAGAAAAACUAGGAGGACUUAUAACUAGGAUAUACAACCAUGCACUGGGGCUUUCGGAAGGAAAAAAUAAAAUAAAUAUAAAUCUCAAUUGUCUUGGAUAAUGACUAAGGACAGCAUAAAAUCAAGUAAAACAUCCAUAGAUCUCAUUUUUCAUUGACUUCAAGACCUGUCAUUACUAAAUUAUAAAAUGAAUAUAAAGUUAUAAAUUUCAUCCUAAAGUACAGGUAAAUAUCACUGAAGUCACCUAGCCCUCUGAAAUUUAUUUAUAAUCAGGUUAAUCCCCUUUCUCAAUUUCUGUGAGAAACACAUCUUUCUUCAAGAUAUGUAUACAUAUACAUGUUUUUCCCUAUUUCCAGGGUUGUCACCUUCCCAUAGUCACAUUGAACUUUUUUCUUCUUGCUUUUCUUUUUUUUUUUUGCAGAUGAUUAGCCCUGAGCUAACAUCUGUGCCCAUCUUCUUCUACUUUAUAUGUGGGAAGCCUGCUGCAGCAUGGCUUGACAAGCAGCGUGUGGGCCCCUGCCGCAGAUUCGAAUCUGUGAAUCACUGGCCACUAAAGCAGAGCUCCCUCUGUGUUUACCAAUACAGGUAAUACAAGGUACUUGGUUGUGCAGAGCAACAUGGUGAGGUGUGGUCUCAGCUCCAGCUCAGCCUCUAGGCUCUCUCCCCUUCACUCUCACCCUAGUCUUCCUGUUCACACACAUCCACUGAAUUCCUGGGCAAAGAUGAAGGCAGGGAGUAAAACGAUCAAGAAGUAUUUCAAAUCAAUAGUGUUCAACUUUAGCUUUUGAAAGCCUGGCUUCAAAUAAAUGUACAAUAAAUUCUUGAUCAUUCCUUCUCCCUUCAACGCUCCAUUCUGAAGGAUUUAGUGUUAAACCCAGCCUUAAAAGAGCUGAAAGGCACAGUCACCAACCUGCUUGAAAGAUAACCAAGUCGGAGGUCUCCGGGGCUUGGCCUCCAUCAGACGAGGACUGCGAGGAAGGAGAGGACUGAGGCAGUGUGGGAGAUAGAAACCAGAGGGAAGUCAAGGAUUACAAGAUAUUCCAAAUACCCAUCUGAGCAGAUUUCAAGUAUUCAGAACCAAGCAGACAACGUCCAGAAGACCUAGCUGGAGAUAUAAAGAGAGGUCUGGAGGGGAAUGUAUGGACACUAAUACCGUCUCGGAAAGAUUAAAUCCAGGAAGAAGAAAUCUAACAGAGAAAGAACACAACCAUAAAUAGUGGCUCAAAAAUUCACAGAUAUAAACUCUCAAAAAAGAAAUGUUUCAUAUAUAUAGAUUCUUUCAUUAAAGAAAAAGUAUCCAACAGAAAGUGUGACAAAGGCAUGAGGAUAAUCUUGGAAUUCCUUCCACCUGGCAUUGGACCUAGCAUCAAGGGAAGCUACGGAAGGCUUCAGCGCAAAGCUACUGCAGUGAGGCAGAAAUGGUUUACUAUUUAUUCCUAGUGAUUCACCUUGAUAGCAUUUUCUACAGGGAACGUGCUGGGCUAAUUGGAGGCACUCAGGAUCAACACUGGAACUCAGGUCUUUACAUACUGAGAGACUUACUGAAACAACAAGGGUGGAUUCCUCAGAAACGACCUUUCCAGUUCCACAUCCAUAAAGCUAAAGCUGUAGAUGUAGAAGAAUUUUUGAAUAGAGUUGAGAGAAUGUCUUUUUUAACUGAACAACUAUUAGCACUUACAAAUUCAUGGAAAAAGAACUUUUAUACACACACACAUACAUAUGCAUACAUGUAUACAUGCUCACAUAUGUAUAUGAGUAUAUAUGUAUACAUAUACAUUCGCAUACAUAUAUACAUAUCCAGAUAUAUCCCUUAAAGCAUAGCUUUGUGUUCAUAUCUAUCUAUGGACUCCACUGGUUAAUUUAAUAUUUAUUUAAUUUUUAAUUCACUUCAAGCUCUCUACUAAAAUUUAAGAACACAUUGGUAAUUGAAAUAGUAAUUGUCCCUCCUUUCAUGGAGUUUAUAUUCUACUGAAAGAGAGAAAAAUUUAAAAAUAAUCCUACAUACAUAUACUUUUGCUGUGUUUGUUGUGUUAUCACAGAAAAGUAAGGGUCAGGAGAAUCGGACUUAAAUUAAAACUUUACGGACUUUUUCACAAAGGAAAUUAUGUUUAAAAGUGAGCUCUGAAGAAGGUAGACUCAGACUUAAAGGACUUCCUGGUGGUUUCAAGUAGGUGCCCAGUGGCUGUAUGUAUAUGGCUAGAUGUUAAUUACCACCUAGGAAGCUAGUGUUGACCAGCUUCUAGCAAUAGGAAAAUGUGUGGAGGGCUAGAAGCUAUGAGAAAUAGAUAACAAAUACUCUGGAGAGCAAAACUAUAAGAUAUUUUUGACAAGCUAAGUAACAAAGUAUUAGUAUUUAGUAAUUAGUAAUAAAGUAUUUAGAACAUGAAAAAGUUUAACAGGGAUAAAGGUAAUGUUUUGCAUAUGAGUUCAAAAUAAAUUUACAGUAGCAAAGAUGGGUUUAGAAAUCCCAUGGGGUAUGAAGACAGAGGUUUGGUCAACAUCAGUAGUGCCAUGUGACUCCAAAGAAAAUGAGAAAGGAGAGAAAGGAAGAAAAAGAAAGAGAAAAAGCAAACCACACAAAACUGAAUUAAUAAGGCAGGCAAUAAUUAUUAUUAUUAUUAUCAAGAAUCAAGAAUCAAUGCUAAGCCAUUUAGAAAGAUUCAGGGCAAUUUUGUUGUGUUUUGUUUAAAUCUUAGUUCAUAAAGUUCUGAUUAUAAUGGAGAAUAGAAAGUAAUGUGUCCAUGAACCUCACUACACCUUGGUUUCCUCACACUAUGUAAUGAGAAUAACAGUAUAUCUCACAUAACAGUUUAAGUACGUUAAGUAAAGUGAGUGAGCUACUGUAUAUAUGUAUCUUCAGCACAGUAUCUGGCACAUGAAAAUAUCUAACUACAUUACAAGUAUUUCUGUAACUCUUUACAUGUACUAGCUCACUGAUUCUCACAAAAAUCUAUGGAAUAGGUAUUAUGAUCAUCUACCUUUUAUAUAUGAGAAAGCCAAAGCAUAACGAGAUUAAGUAGCUUGUCAAAUCACACAGCAAGGAAGUAGUAUUGCCUAGGUGGACUACGUGGUCUAAUUUUAGAGUUUUUAUUUCAAAUCUCUACUCUUUAUUGCCUCUUGUAGUAAUCACUCAACAUAUACCUUUCUAUAAUAAAUAUGAAUUCUGUAAAUUGC
ensembl:lncRNA